CCUACGGGGGGCAGCAGUGAGGAAUAUUGGUCAAUGGGCGGGAGCCUGAACCAGCCAAGUCGCGUGAAGGAAGAAGGUACUUAGUAUUGUAAACUUCUUUUGUCGGGGAACAAAGGCGGAGACGCGUCUCCGGAUGAGUGUACCCGAAGAAAAAGCAUCGGCUAACUCCGUGCCAGCAGCCGCGGUAAUACGGAGGAUGCGAGCGUUAUCCGGAUUUAUUGGGUUUAAAGGGUGCGCAGGCGGAGGCACAAGUCAGCGGUAAAAUCGCGGGGCUCAACCCCGGCGAGCCGUUGAAACUGGCUGUUUUGAGAUGUCGAGAGGUAUGCGGAAUGCGCAGUGUAGCGGUGAAAUGCUUAGAUAUUGCGCAGAACUCCGAUUGCGAAGGCAGCAUACCGGCGGCGAUCUGACGCUGAGGCACGAAAGCGUGGGUAUCGAACAGGAUUAGAUACCCGUGUAGUC
rnacentral:rRNA from 1 species